CGCCGCUCACUGUUUUACAGUCCUCUGCUCUCCGUUUAUUUCUUUAUUAUAACCGAGCUUUUUUCUUGACACGUGUACGAUAUGACCGAUCGCCAAGGUCUUUUCAAAAUUGUCGCUGCCGGUGAUAUAUACACUAGUGCAGUUAACCUAUUUUCCACGAAAUCCGAAGGAGAAAUUGCUCAGACAAAACGAAGAUCCAAUGACCAACAAGCUAGAUUAAGAAUUAUUCGUUCAGUUAGGCCAUAACAUAGUACUACAAUGAUUGUUGGUGAGAAAUUUCGCAAUAAAGACUUUACGGAAGG